UACGUAGGGGGCUAGCGUUGCCCGGAAUCAUUGGGCGUAAAGCGCGCGUAGGCGGCUUUGCAAGUCGGGUGUGAAAUCCCCAGGCUUAACCUGGGAACUGCAUUCGAGACUGCAUUGCUAGAGUAUGGGAGAGGGAAGUGGAAUUUCCGGUGUAGCGGUGAAAUGCGUAGAUAUCGGAAGGAACAUCAGUGGCGAAAGCGACUUCCUGGACCAAUACUGACGCUCAUGUGCGAAAGCGUGGGGAGCAAACAGG
rnacentral:rRNA from 1 species